GAGUCGUUUCCGUUUCCAGUCAUCAUAUUUUGACAUACAAGCAUGCAAUGUAGUAUAGUUAGUUGUUAUGGUCCCUCAUCCGUUAACAUUUCGCAAUAACGUGGGUAUUUGAGUGAAUAACAUUCAAAUCCCUUCACGCAGUUCUGGCCACUAUAAAUAGUCCAGUUACUGAGUGCUGUAACUUACUGGACAUUAUUAAUUCUAGCUAGCUUGCUAGCUAAUAACGUUACUACGUAUUUCCGAAGUCAAGGCAAGUGUAUAAUCAUGGCAGGACUGUAUCGAGCUCUUCGAGCAUCUUCCUCCAGUGUCACAAAGAAUCUGACACAAGCCACAUCACGUCGAACUAAAUUCACUAAGAGUCGCGUUCCUCCACAGAUAUUUGAGGAACGAGCAAAAAACAUGACAAGUAGAAAACAAGUUUGGUGGUGAUCCAGAACAUCCCAAUAAACUGCAAAUAGAAGCACGAUGAGACGACCCUAUUGGGAAAAUAAGGCACAUGAACCCCGUGAUCACAAGAACACCCCAUCAGUGAACAAUCUACUCAAAAUCAUUAAGCACCUAGUUAGGAUUGAGCCUCUCAAGCUCCCCUCCGGAUUACCUGCUGAGGAGGACAUGGCUAACACCUGUCUGAACAGCAGAGGAGCUGGUGGUGAAACGUCUCCUGAAACCACUUGAGCAGAAAUAGAAAUUGAGUCAUAGACCUUUGUAGAGAUAGUGUCAGUAUCUCAGGAGAUGUAAUAUUUAAAUGACUAAUGUUCAGUGGGACAGAAAAAAAACAUUUUUAAUUGAUGAGCAAAACAGGCAUUUUAUGUCAUUUUUAAUGUCAUGUACUGCUAUAAAGAAAAAGAAAAUGCACUUCCUUCACAUCAAUGAGAGAAAGAGGUGGCAAUCCUUAGUGGAAUACAGAAGUUUGCUUCCUUGGCACUUGUUUGGUGCUCACUGAUCUGAGCAUCAGUCCAUUAAGAGGCAAAAUAUUGAUUUCGUCUUUGCACUAUUUAAAUGCUUCCUGUUGUUCCAUCUUACAAAAACUUCCUUAGAAAAUAAAUUGGUGCUAAAGAGAGAGAACCUUCACCAGAAUUAUGCUCCACAGAAAAGUUUCACUUUUGUACAUUAAAACAAAAAAGUGAAAUGAAGUAUUAACACAAUAUUAGGUGGUAUUCAGUCAUCUUAAAAUGGGCAAACGAGACAAAGGUGAGACAGAAGAAAUUAAAUAGACACUGCAAAAAAGACAAAAAAAAA